GACGAACGCUGGCGGCGUGCCUAAUACAUGCAAGUCGAACGCACUCUCGUUUAGAUUGAAGGAGCUUGCUCCUGAUUGAUAAACAUUUGAGUGAGUGGCGGACGGGUGAGUAACACGUGGGUAACCUGCCCUAAAGUGGGGGAUAACAUUUGGAAACAGAUGCUAAUACCGCAUAAAACCUAAACACCGCAUGGUGUAGGGUUGAAAGAUGGUUUCGGCUAUCACUUUAGGAUGGACCCGCGGUGCAUUAGUUAGUUGGUGAGGUAAAGGCUCACCAAGACCGUGAUGCAUAGCCGACCUGAGAGGGUAAUCGGCCACACUGGGACUGAGACACGGCCCAGACUCCUACGGGAGGCAGCAGUAGGGAAUCUUCCACAAUGGACGAAAGUCUGAUGGAGCAACGCCGCGUGAGUGAAGAAGGUUUCGGAUCGUAAAACUCUGUUGUUGGAGAAGAAUGUAUCUGAUAGUAACUGAUCAGGUAGUG
rnacentral:rRNA from 1 species